GAAUAUUUCUUGAAGGCUGCCUUCAAGUCAGGUCUGGGCAGUCUGGUUUGAUUGAUCACUAAGAGGCUUAGAAAUACAUAUGAUUAACAGCAUAAAAAGUCCAUGUUAACUGAAAAGAGAAAAAAAAAAUAUCAUAUAUCAUUGUGUAUAACCCAGAGCCCUGCCUGGCUUGUCCCAGCCUGGCCUAGUUGGGGUGGUGGGAUGGACCUAGGCUGUGAGGCCCUGCCAUGGUGGCCUGGCCCCAUGAUAGGCCCAGCUCCCCAGCCCUGAGGCAGCAGCUGUGCUGUGCUGUGCCCCUGGCAGGGCUUGUGAUAACACCGCUCUGCCACCUCCUUAGGUUCUAUAAGCCCUAGUUGUUUCCUAGUGAAGAGAAAGAUCAGCACAUGAAAUGCAUACAUCCCCAUUCACCUUCACCUUUUUCUGGGAAAGCGCCCAUCGAUUUUUACUGAAAUGGAACAUGAUGCCAGAUCUCCAGAUUUUUCUAAACCUUUAAAAUCACAUAUCCUUUUGGAAGUCAUCAAAACUCAAUACAUUCCCUGUUCAGUGGAUUUUCUGUGCUUUGAUUUCUC